rnacentral:rRNA from 1 species
AUACGUAGGGGGCUAGCGUUGUCCGGAUUUAUUGGGCGUAAAGAGCGUGUAGGCGGCCAGGUAGGUCUGCUGUGAAAACUCGAGGCUCAACCUCGAGACGUCGGCGGAAACCAUCUGGCUAGAGUCCGGAAGAGGAGAGUGGAAUUCCUGGUGUAGCGGUGAAAUGCGCAGAUAUCAGGAAGAACACCCGUGGCGAAGGCGGCUCUCUGGGACGGUACUGACGCUGAGACGCGAAAGCGUGGGGAGCGAACAGGAUUAGAUACCCUGGUAGUCCACGCCGUAAACGAUGGAUGCUAGGUGUGGGCGGUGUCGACUCCGUCCGUGCCGAAGCUAACGCAUUAAGCACCCCGCCUGGGGAGUACGGCCGCAAGGCUAAAACUCAAAUGAAUUGACGGGG